GUAUUUUAUAGCUGUUGAAGAUGAGAAGAUAACACCCCUGAGUUCAGAAUACAAGCGAUCUGGAACUAAAUCCCCUCCAUAUAUAAGCAUUGCAGGCAAUGCUCCCC